GGCCAGACUCCUACGGGAGGCAGCAGUGAGGAAUAUUGGUCAAUGGCCGAGAGGCUGAACCAGCCAAGUCGCGUGAGGGAAGACGGCCCUACGGGUUGUAAACCUCUUUUGUCGGGGAGCAAAGCGAACCACGUGUGGUUCAUUGAGAGUACCCGAAGAAAAAGCAUCGGCUAACUCCGUGCCAGCAGCCGCGGUAAUACGGAGGAUGCGAGCGUUAUCCGGAUUUAUUGGGUUUAAAGGCUGCGCAGGCGGAGGUGCAAGUCAGCGGUCAAAUUGCGGGGCUCAACCCCGUACUGCCGUUGAAACUGCAUCCCUUGAGUGCGCGAGAAGUAUGCGGAAUGCGUGGUGUAGCGGUGAAAUGCGUAGAUAUCAGGAGGAACACCGGCGGCGAAGGCGGCCUGCUGGACCGCGACUGACGUUGAGGCUCGAAAGCGUGGGGAGCGAACAGGAUUAGAUACCCCAGUA
rnacentral:rRNA from 1 species